GAACGCUGGCGGUGUGCUUAACACAUGCAAGUCGAACGGGCAAGAGCUGUAGCAAUACAGAAUUCUGCUAGUGGCAGACGGGUGAGUAAUACAUGGGAAUCUACCUUGCAGUGCGAAAUAACAGUUGGAAGCAAUUGCUAAUGUCGCAUAUAGCCGAGAGGUGAAAGAUUUAUCGCUGCAAGACGAGCCCAUGCAGGAUUAGCUAGUUGGUGGGGUAACGGCCCACCAAGGCCGCGAUCCGUAGCUGGUCUGAGAGGACGGCCAGCCACACUGGGACUGAGACACGGCC
rnacentral:rRNA from 1 species